rnacentral:rRNA from 1 species
AUGAACGCUGGCGGCGUGCCUCAUACAUGCACGUCGAGCGAACAGACGAGGAGCUUGCUCCUCUGACGUUAGCGGCGGACGGGUGAGUAACACGUGGAUAACCUACCUAUAAGACUGGGAUAACUUCGGGAAACCGGAGCUAAUACCGGAUAAUAUAUUGAACCGCAUGGUUCAAUAGUGAAAGACGGUUUUGCUGUCACUUAUAGAUGGAUCCGCGCCGCAUUAGCUAGUUGGUAAGGUAACGGCUUACCAAGGCAACGAUGCGUAGCCGACCUGAGAGGGUGAUCGGCCACACUGGAACUGAGACACGGUCCAGACUCCUACGGGAGGCAGCAGUAGGGAAUCUUCCGCAAUGGGCGAAAGCCUGACGGAGCAACGCCGCGUGAGUGAUGAAGGUCUUCGGAUCGUAAAACCCUGUUAUUAGGGAAGAACAAAUGUGUAAGUAACUAUGCACGUCUUGACGGUACCUAAUCAGAAAGCCACGGCUAACUACGUG